rnacentral:rRNA from 1 species
AUUGAACGCUGGCGGCAGGCUUAACACAUGCAAGUCGAACGGUAGCACUGAGGAGCUUGCUCCUUGGGUGACGAGUGGCGGACGGGUGAGUAAUGUCUGGGAAACUGCCCGAUGGAGGGGGAUAACUACUGGAAACGGUGGCUAAUACCGCAUAACGUCUUCGGACCAAAGUGGGGGACCUUCGGGCCUCACACCAUCGGAUGUGCCCAGAUGGGGUUAGCUAGUAGGUGGGGUAAUGGCUCACCUAGGCGACGAUCCCUAGCUGGUCUGAGAGGAUGACCAGCCACACUGGAACUGAGACACGGUCCAGACUCCUACGGGAGGCAGCAGUGGGGAAUAUUGCACAAUGGGCGCAAGCCUGAUGCAGCCAUGCCGCGUGUAUGAAGAAGGCCUUCGGGUUGUAAAGUACUUUCAGCGGGGAGGAAGGCGUUAAGGUUAAUAACCUUGGCGAUUGACGUUACCCGCAGAAGAAGCACCGGCUAACUCCGUGCCAGCAGCCGCCGUAAGAC